UAGGGAAUAUUCCGCAAUGGACGCAAGUCUGACGGAGCAACGCCGCGUGAGUGAAGAAGGAUUUCGGUUCGUAAAACUCUGUUGUUAGAGAAGAACAGCGCAUAGAGUAACUGUUAUGCGUGUGACGGUAUCUAACCAGAAAGCCACGGCUAACUACGUGCCAGCAGCCGCGGUAAUACGUAGGUGGCAAGCGUUGUCCGGAUUUAUUGGGCGUAAAGCGAGCGCAGGCGGUCAAUUCAGUCUGAUGUGAAAGCCCCCGGCUCAACCGGGGAGGGUCAUUGGAAACUGGUUGACUUGAGUGCAGAAGAGGAGAGUGGAAUUCCAUGUGUAGCGGUGAAAUGCGUAGAUAUAUGGAGGAACACCAGUGGCGAAGGCGACUCUCUGGUCUGUAACUGACGCUGAGGUUCGAAAGCGUGGGUAGCAAACAGG
rnacentral:rRNA from 1 species